rnacentral:lncRNA from 1 species
AAAACAAUUUAUUUGUUAAAAAAAUGAUACGUUAAUAUAGACAAUCUAACAUACAUCAUGCCAGGUAAUAGAGAAAAUCAAAUAAAUCAUGAAAUGCUCAGAUUUUCUUGUCAUGCUUCAUGAAGUCGUUACAACUUCUACCUCUGAGGGCAGAUUUUCAACUACCCAAUUGGAAUGACCGGAUCAGAUAUAGAUGCGG